CCUACGGGAGGCUGCAGUGAGGAAUAUUGGUCAAUGGGCGAGAGCCUGAACCAGCCAAGUCGCGUGAAGGAUGACGGCCCUACGGGUUGUAAACUUCUUUUGUCAGGGAGCAAUUGAGUCCACGUGUGGGCUUAGCGAGAGUACCUGAAGAAAAAGCAUCGGCUAACUCCGUGCCAGCAGCCGCGGUAAUACGUAGGUGGCAAGCGUUAUCCGGAUUUACUGGGUGUAAAGGGCGUGUAGGCGGGACUGCAAGUCAGAUGUGAAAUUCCAGGGCUCAACCCUGGAACUGCAUUUGAAACUGUAGUUCUUGAGUGAUGGAGAGGCAGGCGGAAUUCCGUGUGUAGCGGUGAAAUGCGUAGAUAUACGGAGGAACACCAGUGGCGAAGGCGGCCUGCUGGACAUUAACUGACGCUGAGGCGCGAAAGCGUGGGGAGCAAACAGGAUUAGAUACCCGGGUAGUC
rnacentral:rRNA from 1 species